CGCGACUCCAACUGCCCACUGGCUGAGGUCUAGGAGGCGGGAGCGAGACGGCUCCGCCCGCAAAACAGCCCCACCUCCACAUUGGCCAAGGCUCGGAGAGGGGCGGGAUGUCCCUAAAUCUACUGGACCUGAAGACGUGUCCCAUUUCUGCGUGUUAGACAGCGGUGCUCUCUCUGUGGUUGAAGAUCAUUUCAGAGACCUCUGAGACAGUAGUACACCCCGUGAUCAGCCUGCAGCUCCACUCCUCCACCAUGUCACCAUCACCCAGCUGGAGAAGCGCCAGGCCUGACGAAGAAGGUCCUAUCUGCCAGGGAGCAUCACGACCUAGGAAACAUGUGCCUAGGGACUGAGAAAAUCCACAGAACCGGAUCCAGAGAAUAUUGGAUUCUGGCAGGCAGGACAAGAACGUAGAUCAGGCUCUCCUCCUGCUGUGGCAAAUGAGAGGCCUCAUUUUGAAACUCAGAGAUAGACAGAGGCAGCCUGGAUCCCUAAGUCACUACUGGAGGGCCACUGGGAUCUGCGGCUGUGAAAGCAACAAGUGUGAAAGUUCCCUCAGGUAAAGCCGGUGCUUCCUGCAGGGAUCCAGACACAGAGGCCAAACACAAGUGCACCAGCAAGUCCUACCCUGUUCCUCAACACCAUUACAACCCGGCAAAUCAAUUCAUCAGCUGCCAGGAAGACCUGUUCCUUCUGUAAAACGUUAGACCCAACAUAACAGUAAAAACUUUCAAAGGG